UACACCUUGGAUGUGCAGGAAAUCGAACGUCGUAAACCGUAAGAUACUUUCCUUUUCCCACUCUGGGGCGGUGCGGUGGGGAUUUUGACGGAGCCCACGCGCUACUUGCAUGCCCAACCUCCAGUUUUAAAUUUCUCAACAGCGACGCAUCUCCCGAUCCCAAUUCCCAUCCCUAUCUCCAGCGAGCAAUGGUGGAGCUUGGCUUCCAAGCCAGCGAUGCUUUGUUUUCAUGGAAUCGGAUAAGACGCAGGCAAGGAUCCCGAUAGGUCCACUAUAAAGCCAUGCGCCGCCUCCACCGCAAUGCGAGCUCUUCGCAAUCUGAGCACAGUCUUCACGAGUUGUUGAUCCUGUUCGGGAGAGGCUUGCAGGAUGGCCCCUGUUGGUGUGAGCAUACAAGUCCGAGAUGAUCAUGUUGUGAUAGAUAAUGGUAUUCUCCAAUUGACUUUGUCGAAUCCCGAGGGGCUCAUCACUGGAGUUAGAUACAAUGGUGUAGAUAAUUUAUUGGAAGUUCUUAACGAAGAAGGGAAUAGAGGGUACUGGGAUGUGGUAUGGAGUGAACCUCAGGGUUCUGGUAUAUUCGAUGUGAUCCAGGGUACACAUUUUGAAAUAAUUCAUGAAGAUGAAAACCAGGUGGAAGUUUCUUUCACAAGAAACUGGGAUCCAUCCCUCCAAGGCAAGCUUGUCCCUUUGAACAUAGAUAAAAGUGACUGCUCGGGCUUCUACACUUACGCCAUCUAUGAGCACCGGGAAGGAUGGCCAGACUUCGAUUUGGCAGAAACCAGAGUUGCUUUCAAGCUUAGGAAGGACAAGUUUCACUACAUGGCAAUAGCAGAUAACAGACAAAGAUUCAUGCCAAUGCCUGAUGAUCGCAUGCCUAAUAGGUCACAGAAAUUGGCAUAUCCUGAGGCUGUUCUACUAAUUAACCCAGUUAAUCCAGACCUAAAAGGAGAGGUGGAUGACAAGUAUCAAUAUUCCUGUGAAGAUAAGGACAACAAGGUCCAUGGAUGGAUAUCUUUUGAUCCUCCGAUUGGUUUUUGGCAAAUUACACCUAGCGAUGAGUUCCGGUCCGGAGGGCCUGUCAAACAAGAUCUAACAUCUCAUGUUGGUCCUACAACAAUUGCUAAGUUUUUGAGUGCUCACUACAGUGGGCAGGAUCUUGUGCCUAAAUUCAGGAAUGGUGAAUACUGGAAGAAAGUCUUUGGUCCUGUGUUCAUCUACCUCAAUUCUACUAUGGAUGGUACAAAUCGACAACUUCUUUGGGACGAUGCAAAACUUCAGGCACUAACACAAGUGGGGAGUUGGCCAUAUGAAUUUCCAGUUUCAGAGGACUUCCAAAAAUCUAAUCAAAGAGGUUCUGUUACUGGGAGAUUACUGGUUCGAGAUAAGUUCAUAGAUGAGAAAGAUAUAAUUGGGGAUGCUGCUUUUGUUGGUUUGGCUUUACCUGGAGAAGUCGGAUCCUGGCAAAGAGAAUUCAAGGGAUAUCAAUUUUGGACUAGAGCCAAUGACAAAGGGAUUUUUACUAUUACUCAUGUUCGAACCGAGACUAUAAUCUUUAUGCAUGGGUUCCUGGAUUUAUCGGGGACUACAAAUUAGAUAUAACUAUAACUAUCUCUUCAGGAAGUGAAAUCAAUUUGGGUGACCUUGUGUAUAAGCCUCCAAGGGAUGGUCCUACUUUAUGGGAAAUAGGAAUUCCCGAUCGCUCUGCUGCUGAGUUCUUUGUCCCAGAUCCUAAUCCUCUCUAUGUCAACAAACUCUAUGUUAAUCAUCCUGACAGAUUUAGGCAAUAUGGUUUAUGGGAGAGAUAUGCUGACUUGUAUCCUGACAGUGAUCUUAUUUAUUCAGUUGGUGCGAGUGACUAUAGAAAAGAUUGGUUUUUCGCUCAUGUUACCAGGAAGAUUGGAGAGAACUCCUAUCAAGCAACGACAUGGCAAAUAAAGUUCCAAGUUGAUAGUGUCAAUCAAACUGGAGCUUACAAGCUUAGAGUAGCACUUGCCUCUGCCACAAUUUCUGAAUUACAAGUUCGUUUUAACGAUGCAACGAUAAAUCCUCCUCACUUUACAACAGGGCUAAUUGGUAGAGACAAUUCGAUUGCAAGACAUGGAAUUCAUGGAUUAUAUUGGUUGUUUAAUAUUGAUGUGCAAAGUGCAUGGCUUAUUCAAGGUGAUAAUACAAUCUAUUUAACUCAGACCAAGAGUACAAGCCCUUUUCAUGGAAUCAUGUAUGAUUAUAUCCGCAUGGAAGGCCCUCCAGGACAAUAAUAUAAACAAAGUGGACAAGUCAUGCAGUAGCUAACUUCUUACUGUCGCUUAAGAACAUCUCUAUGUGCAAAACGUGUGGCUCUGGGUGUCAAUCUGUCAUUACAGAUUGACCUUUUUAUUCUUCAAUGCAUUGUGUGUAAUUUAUAACUUAAUUACAUCCUUGAGAUGAGAUGAAGAAUCUUUUUCUCACGUG